CGCUGAAGAGGGACUUCAGCAGCCUGAUCGAGACGGUUCGCAGCACAACGCCCGCGGUGACGAUCGUAGUGUCAGGACCACUGCCCACGUAUCGACGAGGACACGAAAGGUUCAGUAGACUUUCUGCUUUAAAUGAAUGGUUGUUGUCAUGGUGUAAAGAACAGAAACUGCUAUUUGUUAAUAACUGGAAUCUUUUCUGGGAGCGUCCUAGGCUGUUUCGCGCUGAUGGAUUACACCCCAGCAGAAUCCGAGCGGAGCUGCUCUCUGACAACAUCUCCAGGACACUUCGCUCCUUGUGACUAGAUUUACACAAGCUCCAGUCUGGAUCCAGAACACCUGAGAAGAGAUGAUGCUGACCCUCAGAGGACCCCAGAUGAUGCUAACCUUGAAUCAACAAACAGAACUAACAAUUAUUGCUACAUGUGUGACUGCAUCAUAUAAUAACUAUUAAUUAAUAAUAUUGAUAGUUCAUCGUCUAGCUGAUUACGUCUUGUAUUAUUAUUAUUAUUUUUU